rnacentral:rRNA from 1 species
ACGGAGGGUGCAAGCGUUAUCCGGAUUCACUGGGUUUAAAGGGUGCGUAGGCGGGCAGGUAAGUCAGUGGUGAAAUCUUCGAGCUUAACUCGGAAACUGCCGUUGAUACUAUCUGUCUUGAAUUUAGUGGAGGUAAGCGGAAUAUGUCAUGUAGCGGUGAAAUGCUUAGAUAUGACAUAGAACACCAAUUGCGAAGGCAGCUUGCUACACUAAUAUUGACGCUGAGGCACGAAAGCGUGGGGAUCAAACAGGAUUAGAUACCCUGGUAGUCCACGCCCUAAACGAUGAUUACUCGACAUCAGCGAUACACUGUUGGUGUCUAAGCUAAAGCAUUAAGUAAUCCACCUGGGAAGUACGAUCGCAAGAUUG